rnacentral:rRNA from 1 species
UACGGGGGGGGCAAGCGUUGUUCGGAAUUACUGGGCGUAAAGGGCUCGUAGGCGGCCAACUAAGUCGGACGUGAAAUCCCCAGGCUCAACCUGGGAACUGCAUCCGAUACUGGAUGGCUUGAAUUCGGGAGAGGGAUGCAGAAUUCCAGGUGUAGCGGUGAAAUGCGUAGAUAUCUGGAGGAAUACCGGUGGCGAAGGCGACUUCCUGGCCUGUUCUUGACGCUGAGGCGCGAAAGCUAGGGUAGCAAACGGG